ACGGGUGCGUAACACGUGAGUAAUCUGCCGAGAAGUGGGGGAUAGCUCGCCGAAAGGCGAAUUAAUACCGCAUAUGGCCAUCCUUCGAUUGGAGGAGAAGCCAAAGCCGCAAGGCGCUUCUUGAUGAACUCGCGGCCUAUCAGCUAGAUGGCGGGGUAACGGCCCACCAUGGCUAUGACGGGUAGCUGGUCUGAGAGGACGACCAGCCACACUGGAACUGAGACACGGUCCAGACACCUACGGGUGGCAGCAGUCGAGAAUUUUUCACAAUGGGGGAAACCCUGAUGGAGCGACGCCGCGUGGAGGAUGAAGGCCCUCGGGUCGUAAACUCCUGUCAUGCGGGAACAAGAAAGUGAUAGUACCGCAAGAGGAAGAGACGGCUAACUCUGUGCCAGCAGCCGCGGUAAUACAGAGGUCUCAAGCGUUAUUCGGAUUCAUUGGGCGUAAAGGGUGCGUAGGUGGCGAUGUAAGUCUGGCGUGAAAUUUUGGGGCUCAACCCCAACAAGCGCCGGAUACUGCGUUGCUUGAGGAUUGUAGAGGAGAGUGGAAUUCACGGUGUAGCAGUGAAAUGCGUAGA
rnacentral:rRNA from 1 species